rnacentral:rRNA from 1 species
GAUGAACGCUAGCUACAGGCUUAACACAUGCAAGUCGAGGGGCAGCGGGGAUCUAGCUUGCUAGAUUUGCCGGCGACCGGCGCACGGGUGAGUAACACGUAUCCAACCUGGCCCAUACUCGGGUAUAGCCUCUCGAAAGGGAGAUUAAUCCCCGAUGUUGUUGUUUCACCGCAUGGUGUUGCAACCAAAGAAUUUCGGUAUGUGAUGGGGAUGCGUUCCAUUAGCUUGUUGGCGGGGUAACGGCCCACCAAGGCGACGAUGGAUAGGGGUUCUGAGAGGAAGGUCCCCCACACUGGAACUGAGACACGGUCCAGACUCCUACGGGAGGCAGCAGUGAGGAAUAUUGGUCAAUGGGCGAGAGCCUGAACCAGCCAAGUAGCGUGAAGGAUGACUGCCCUACGGGUUGUAAACUUCUUUUGUUUGGGAAUAAAGUUCAGCACGUGUGCUGUUUUGUAUGUACCAUUCGAAUAAGCAUCGGCCAAUUCCGUGCCAGCAGCCGCGGUAAGAC